rnacentral:rRNA from 1 species
UACGUAGGGCGCAAGCGUUAUCCGGAAUUAUUGGGCGUAAAGAGCUCGUAGGCGGUUUGUCGCGUCUGACGUGAAAGUCCGGGGCUCAACUCCGGAUCUGCGGUGGGUACGGGCAGACUAGAGCGAUGUAGGGGAGACUGGAAUUCCUGGUGUAGCGGUGAAAUGCGCAGAUAUCAGGAGGAACACCGAUGGCGAAGGCAGGUCUCUGGGCAUUAACUGACGCUGAGGAGCGAAAGCAUGGGGAGCGAACAGG